AACGAACGCUGGCGGCAGGCUUAACACAUGCAAGUCGAACGCAUCCUUCGGGGUGAGUGGCAGACGGGUGAGUAACGCGUGGGAACGUGCCCUUCAGUUCGGGAUAACCCAGGGAAACUUGGGCUAAUACCGGAUACGUGCGAGAGCAGAAAGAUUUAUCGCUGAAGGAUCGGCCCGCGUCUGAUUAGCUAGUUGGUGGGGUAAUGGCCCACCAAGGCGACGAUCAGUAGCUGGUCUGAGAGGAUGAUCAGCCACAUUGGGAAUGAGACACGGCCCAAACUCCUCCGGGAGGCAGCAGUGGGGAAUAUUGGACAAUGGGCGCAAGCCUGAUCCAGCCAUGCCGCGUGAGUGAUGAAGGCCUUAGGGUUGUAAAGCUCUUUCGUCCGGGACGAUAAUGACGGUACCGGAAGAAGAAGCCCCGGCUAACUUCGUGCCAGCCGCCGCAGUAA
rnacentral:rRNA from 1 species